rnacentral:rRNA from 1 species
AUGAUAAGGUUGGCUGACACGGACAAGCCAUGUCUCCAUUUGAUCUAUGAAAUGUGGGAUUCCAUGAUAGAGAAGGUCAAAAUGCCCAUCUAUAGGUUUGAAGGAAAGGAGGAAGGUGACGAGUGUAUCUUGUAUGACAUUAUUAAAGAGAUCCUUAUUUCCCGAUGGACCAAGAGCAAUACCCCUUUACAUUGUCUUGCCCACUCACUAAACCUAAGGUACUAUAGUCCAGCUUGGAUUAAUGAAGUCCCUGGCCGUAUCAGCCCCAAUGAUGACCAUGAAGUUACAGAAAUGAGAAACAAGUGCUUUCAGAAGUUCUAUCCAGAUCAAUAG